UGUAGCUCAGUUGGUAGAGUGCUUGCCUAGCACGCAUGAUACCCUGGGUUUGAUCCCCAGUA
rnacentral:tRNA from 1 species